AGAAUCAACGCUGGCGGCGUGCCUAACACAUGCAAGUCGAACGAGAAAGUGGAGCAAUCCAUGAGUAAAGUGGCGACCGGGUGAGUAACACGUGACUAACCUACCUUCGAGUGGGGGAUAACCUCGGGAAAACCGAGGCUAAUACCGCAUAACAUCGCAAGAUCAAAGCAGCAAGUGCGCUGGAAGAGGGGGGUCGCGGCUGAUUAGCUAGUUGGCGGGGUAACGCCCACCAAGGCGAAGAUCGGUA
rnacentral:rRNA from 1 species